AGUGAACGCUGGCGGCGUGCCUAAUACAUGCAAGUCGAACGGAGUGGCGCACGGGUGAGUAAUAUAUAGCUAAUCUGCUCCUUGCUGGAGGACAACAGUUAGAACUGACUGCUAUUCCUCCAUAGCAAGGGAUGAGACUAUAUCGUAUAAGCUAGUCGGUGGGGUAACGGCCUACCGAGGCUAUGACCCGUAACUGGUCUGAGAGGAUGAUCAGUCACAUUGGAAGUGAGACACGGUCCAAGCACCUACGAGAGGCAGCAGUAGGGAAUAUUGCGCAAUGGGGGAAAGCCUGACGCGGCAACGCCUUGUAGAGGAUGACACUUUGCGGAGCGUAAACUCCGUUUGUUAAGGAAGCGGUACCUAAAGAAGAAGCACCGGCUAACUCCGUGCCAGCAGCCGCGGUAAUUC
rnacentral:rRNA from 1 species